rnacentral:rRNA from 1 species
AGUGAACGCUGGCGGCAUGCCUUACACAUGCAAGUCGAACGGUAACGCGGGGCAACCUGGCGACGAGUGGCGAACGGGUGAGUAAUGUAUCGGAACGUGCCCAGUUGUGGGGGAUAACUGCUCGAAAGAGCAGCUAAUACCGCAUACGACCUGAGGGUGAAAGCGGGGGAUCGCAAGACCUCGCGCAGUUGGAGCGGCCGAUAUCAGAUUAGGUAGUUGGGGGGGUAAAGGCUCACCAAGCCAACGAUCUGUAGCUGGUCUGAGAGGACGACCAGCCACACUGGGACUGAGACACGGCCCAGACUCCUACGGGAGGCAGCAGUGGGGAAUUUUGGACAAUGGGCGCAAGCCUGAUCCAGCCAUGCCGCGUGCGGGAAGAAGGCCUUCGGGUUGUAAACCGCUUUUGUCAGGGAAGAAAAGACUCCUGUUAAUACCGGGGGUUCAUGACGGUACCUGAAGAAUAAGCACCGGCUAACUACGUGCCAGCAGCCGCCGCCG